rnacentral:tRNA from 1 species
ACACUGGUGAUUCAGUGGUAGAAUUCUCGUCUUCCAUGCAAGAGAUUUGAGUUUGACUCCCAACUAAUGCC